rnacentral:lncRNA from 10 species
GAGAGAGGCGACAAUGGAGAAGAAGGAAUACACCAUGCUAGGCUCAGACGUGGGGCCUUGGGUGGGAUGUAGGCAGUGGCUCUUUGCACGGGGUGUGGCUAUAACUGGGACCUCCAGGUGGUGGCUCAUGGUUGCACUGGGGAAGUAAACUAAUCUAGGCAUAAAAGUUGAUGAAGCUGUAGCACCAGGAGUCCAAGCUGUGAAGGAAGUUGAGUCCUUCCUCCGCCAGCAGCAGACUGUGAGCUGCAGAGUCAAAUAUGAUGGAAAGUUUCCUUUUGAGAGGAGAAAAAAAUGGUGAAAAGAAAAUUCUAGCAAAUAAAAAAUGAUUUGCAAGGCUUCUCCUGUACUUGCUAAGUUUUGUAGAGAUAGGGUCUUGGUAUGUUGCCCAGGCUGGACUUGAACUCCUGGCCUCAAGUGAUCCUCUCGCUUCAACCUCCCAAAGCGUUGGAAUUAAAGGUGUGACUUACUGUGCCAGACCUGAAUAUAUUUGAUAAUACUGAAUUGUAAACUGAAAAUGGUUAAGAUGGUAAAUUUUAUGUUAAUGUGUAUUUCGCCACAAUAAAAAAUGGAAAAUAUG